rnacentral:rRNA from 1 species
CCUUGGAACUGCAUUUUUAACUGCCGAGCUAGAGUAUGUCAGAGGGGGGUAGAAUUCCACGUGUAGCAGUGAAAUGCGUAGAUAUGUGGANGGAAUACCGAUGGCGAAGGCAGCCCCCUGGGAUAAUACUGACGCUCAGACACGAAAGCGUGGGGAGCAACCAGGAUUAGAUACCCUGGUAGUCCACGCCCUAAACGAUGUCAACUAGCUGUUGGGGCCGUUAGGCCUUAGUAGCGCAGCUAACGCGUGAAGUUGACCGCCUGGGGAGUACGGUCGCAAGAUUAAAACUCAAAGGAAUUGACGGGGACCCGCACAAGCGGUGGAUGAUGUGGAUUAAUUCGAUGCAACGCGAAAAACCUUACCUACCCUUGACAUGUCUGGAAAGCCGAAGAGAUUUGGCCGUGCUCGCAAGAGAACCGGAACACAGGUGCUGCAUGGCUGUCGUCAGCUCGUGUCGUGAGAUGUUGGGUUAAGUCCCGCAACGAGCGCAACCCUUGUCAUUAGUUGCUACGCAANGAGCACUCUAAUGAGACUGCCGGUGACAAACCGGAGGAAGGUGGGGAUGACGUCAAGUCCUCAUGGCCCUUAUGGGUAGGGCUUCACACGUCAUACAAUGGUCGGGACAGAGGGUCGCCAACCCGCGAGGGGGAGCCAAUCUCAGAAACCCGAUCGUAGUCCGGAUCGCAGUCUGCAACUCGANCUGCGUGAAGUCGGAAUCGCUAGUAAUCGCGGAUNCAGAAUNGUCGCGGUGAANUACGUUCCCGGGUCUUNGUACACACCGNCCCGUNCACACCAUGGGNNAGUGGGNUUUCACCAGAAGUNAGGUAGCCUAACCGUAAAGGAGGGCGCUUNACCACGGGUGGGNAUUCAUG